GCCCAAGAGAUCGGGAUAACACCUGGAAACAGAUGCUAAUACCGGAUAACAACAGAUGAUGCCUAUCAACUGUUUAAAAGAUGGUUCUGCUAUCACUCUUGGAUGGACCUGCGGUGCAUUAGCUAGUUGGUAGGGUAACGGCCUACCAAGGCGAUGAUGCAUAGCCGAGUUGAGAUACUGAUCGGCCACAUUGGGACUGAGACACGGCCCAAACUCCUACGGGAGGCAGCAGGU
rnacentral:rRNA from 1 species